rnacentral:rRNA from 1 species
UACGUAGGGUGCAAGCGUUAAUCGGAAUUACUGGGCGUAAAGCGUGCGCAGGCGGUGAUGUAAGUCAGGUGUGAAAUCCCCGGGCUCAACCUGGGAACUGCAUCUGUGACUGCAACGCUGGAGUACGGUAGAGGGGGAUGGAAUUCCGCGUGUAGCAGUGAAAUGCGUAGAUAUGCGGAGGAACACCGAUGGCGAAGGCAAUCCCCUGGACCUGUACUGACGCUCAUGCACGAAAGCGUGGGGAGCAAACAGG